rnacentral:lncRNA from 1 species
CCUGCCAACUGUUUAAUCCGCCGGAAGGAGGGCGCAGCAUUGCCGGUCUUCUCAUUGCCUGGCUGCUAGAGGAAACCCGAAGUCGGGAUUCUUUCUUUCCUGCUCUGAGAGGGACCAGGUCCCUCCUCCGUAGCUUUUGUCUCUCUAUUGCCUGCGCCGUGUCCUGGACUGCUCACGGGAGUUCUGCAGGAGACGCCGGAAUAUCUGGAAGCUGAAAAAUGGAAAUAAAUGGAAAGACCAGAAUAUUGAAGAUCACUACAGAAAUCUAAGGUGACUCCCACGACCAGUGCGGGUCACAGCACAGGCGACAGAAGCUAUGGCAGAGGCACCUGAACCCUCUCGGAGGGGAAAGCCAGGCUCCCAACCUCAGCUCGCCGCCUGGAGCCGGGAACCGAGGAGAGCAGGGCCUUCGCCCUCCCCGAUGGACACUCGGCAGGCCCCGCCCAGCGCCCCUGAUUGGACGAAGCGCCGGGCCCCGCCCCCUCAGCCUUUUGAGUCAGGGUCUCACCCUGUGGCCCAGGCUGCCCUCCAGUGAUGCCAUCAUGACUCAGUGCAACCUCAAACUCCCAGGUUCAAGCGAUCUUCCAUCCUGACCUCCAAAAGGGCUGGAUUAUACACAUAAGCCAUGUCACACUUUAUAUGUUUCUAGGGAAGCUUUUCUAAGAAUAAAUACAUUGGAACUAG